rnacentral:rRNA from 1 species
CCUACGGGAGGCAGCAGUGAGGAAUAUUGGACAAUGGUCGAAAGACUGAUCCAGCCAUGCCGCGUGCAGGAAGACGGCCCUAUGGGUUGUAAACUGCUUUUGUUUGGGAAGAAACCUUUCUACGUGUAGAAAGCUGACGGUACCAUACGAAUAAGCACCGGCUAACUCCGUGCCAGCAGCCGCGGUAAUACGGAGGGUGCAAGCGUUAUCCGGAUUUAUUGGGUUUAAAGGGUCCGUAGGCGGACUUAUAAGUCAGUGGUGAAAUCCUGCAGCUCAACUGUAGAACUGCCAUUGAUACUGUAAGUCUUGAAUUCGGUUGAAGUGGGCGGAAUAUGGCAUGUAGCGGUGAAAUGCUUAGAUAUGCCAUAGAACACCGAUUGCGUAGGCAGCUCACUAAGCCUGGAUUGACGCUGAGGGACGAAAGCGUGGGUAGCGAACAGGAUUAGAUACCCUGGUAGUCCACGCCGUAAACGAUGAUUACUCGACAUUAGCGAUACACGGUUAGUGUNAUAAGAGAAGACGAUAAGUAAAUACCACCGUAGGGUAAGGUACGUUCGUUCGAAGAAAGUUAGAAACGUAACAAAGGAAAGUUAGUACGGACGUUGAGACGNGCGACGGACGACGACGAGGGGAGGAGGAGG